AGUUAGUUAUGAAUAAAGAAGAGAAAUUGAUCAAAUCGGAAAAUACAAUGAAGUUGCAACACUUCCAUCAUGAAGUUGCAACGCUCCGACGUCAGGUGGCGUACGAGCAGAGCGGGGUGAAGUCGAGAGAGUCACUACAGAGUCGUCGUGUCGAGCGGACGUGCACUGCCGUUCUAGUCGGGCAGUCUACCGCGAACCUUCGUCAAGAACCGACGUGUCGAAUAAUUACGAUCGGAACGUGGAGUGCUAUAGUCGCUCACCUAUAACUUGUAGGGACGUCAAGAAAGUGUGAUCGGAAAAGAGCACGUGUCCCGAUGAUUCGGUCCGAAUAUAGGAACCAUGGGUGGUGGAGGGCAAGUAGAGGGCGAGUACCCCCUUCGCGCUAACGUCCUUAUGCGCGCUAGAUUACGAGAAACUGUGUAACCGUUACGAAUACCGUGACGUUGCCGUGAGUGUGUACCUUAUGCUGUGACUUUAUUUAAUCGUGAUACAAAAACUAUGUGGAAGUAAAUAAAAUGAUUGUGAUACUGAUGACGGCCAUUAUUGUCUUCUAACGCCCACCCUCCAUUCUGAUGAUGAUGUUACGACCGACACACCCACUAAUUACGACAUCAGAAGUGGGAUUAGUGGACUUGGAUGAAGACAACGUAAUGCGACGUUCACAACAAGACAAUGCAAGUUUCGAUUAUCACAAUCAGAAGAAGAUUAUGAUGAUUAUCACAUUCGUGUGACCACGUGAUGAAGAUGUAGUCUACAGCCAUGCCUGAAUUUGGAGAUGGACCUGAAUUUGAAGUGACCUGGACCUUGUUAAUGAUCGACAUCACUACAUGCCGUAAGAUAUGAUGGCGUGAACAUCACAAUAUUUCCAUAAUGUGUGCAGUCGUGUUUGGAAAUUAUGGUACCUCAACUUGGAAACUGUUAUUACGGUGAGUCGUUUUCAUACUGGAACCUUAUUGUAAUUGACUUCAUUGCUGGGUGAAUUUUCGUUUCUAAUAAUGAGGAAAUUGAUUUAAAAUUAACUUGGAAAUUACUAUUUCCCUUUGUUUAAAAAGAAAAUUGGCGAGACAUAUUGUGUCAAUCCGUGUCAAUAAUAUCGCGUUUUCCAAUCUGUUUUCAUCAUCGUCAAAUCUUUGUAUUUUGAUCUAAAAAUAUUUCGAAUUGGUAUAGACACGCUUAACCUGCGUGGUUAAAGUUGUAUUUUCUCACUCCAAGCAAAAAGAAAUUAAUCAUGACAUGAUAAUUGAGUCUCGUUAAAUAACGUGUUUUGUAAUCUACCGUCAUUCAUCAAAUGUUUCAAUAUUCAAUAUUCUUUAUUUGUAAUCUUUUUAAACCAAUUGAAAGAAAGUCAUGUGAAUACGAUAAUACAGUGAAUUCUUUUGUUUCAUGUCAUAAUUUGUCACGUGGUUCGGCAACUGGUGGAUUGCAAGCGGCGAUGCAAGUGGCGCGGGCUGAGCUGUAGCCGUGUAAAGUGAUGACAUCACGGCAGCGCAUUGUAUAACAACGGGACUUGUGGAAGACCUAAACCAUGUCACAAGACCAGUGGUUGAUCUUUUAUUGGAAAUUCUUAUAAGUCCUGGUGAGUCGUAUCUGUUUUACCUGAUUUGAAAGAUGGAAAGUUUUAAUAGGAUACAAACGAAUAUAGUGCAGAAAGUUGUCUUUUGUUAACUUUAGUUAAAUUGGAAAUCGUAAUGAAGUGAAGUAAACAUUGCGAAGUAAAAUUAUUUGGAUCAUGAUUAAAUGAAAUAGGCUUAGAAAAUGCCCGAAACAGAGUAAAUCAUUAGUGAGAAAAUUGGAGCAAAACAUUCUAAAUAAUGAUAAUACCGAAUUGGUAAUUGUUUAAGUGCGGUAAUAUUUCCUCGAGGUGUUGGUCGCUACAUUGUGACUUUAUGACUUGUGUGUGUGUGAGAGCAGGGUGCUCUGUCGUUUUGUGGUCGUGGACCAUGGUGGCCAUCCCGGGAGGGGAUGUUGUGACUCAUGACUGUUUUGUAGCGUAACCGCAGUUUGGGGAGGAAUAUUGCAGCCUGUUGUGCUUUGCAGUAGAUGUGUAAUGUUGGUUCUUUUAAUUGAGCAAUGAAAGCUAUGAUUGACCUGUUUCGGAGCAACUCUGAUAGGAAGCUGCGCACUUGUAGUGUUCGGGGCUGCAGCCACUUUUGUGCUGCUCGUCUUAGAAACUACAGGUAUGCGGUCGAGGCCUGGAUGUCAUGUUGACUUUGUAUUUGGUCAUGACAUUGUACCUGAAUCUAAGUCAAGUUGACCUCCGGUAGAAUUAGUCGAACUGCACAAAUUAGAAAUUAGUGAUAUAAAAGAAAUUGUGUAACGCAUUGACCACUAUUCUACCAACUAAAAUGUAAAGUUUGUGUGCUAGCUGUGUUAAGAUAUCGUCACUUGGUGUAAGUGGCAUGAGUUGCUGUCGCUCGAUUUAGGUGGCAGCAACGACUGUGUUGAGAUAUCGUCACUUGGUGUAAGUGGCAUGAGUUGCUACCGCUCGAUUUAGGUGGUAGUGACGCCUGGUUGUGAGAUAUCGUCACUCAGUAGAGUGGCAUGAGUUGCUACCGCUCGAUUUAGGUGGUAGUGACGCCUAGUUUUGAGAUAUCGUCACUCAGUAGAGUGGCAUGAGUGUAAAGAGUAAUUGGAUUUUCAAGUUUGGUUGUUUAUAGUGUGUGAAUACUGGUCAAUGGUCUGUGUAUUGUAAGUUGAUGAUUUAUCAUGAUGUAAUGUGAGCUCAUGUGUAGUCCCAAGUAGAGCUCGUGUAGAGUCACAAGUAGAGCUCGUGUAGAGUCACAAGUAGAGCUCGUGUAGAGUCACAAGUAGAGCUCUUGUAGAGUCACAAGUAGAGCUCUUGUAGAGUCACAAGUAGAGCUCGUGUAGAGUCACAAGUAGAGUCUCAUGUUGGUCAGGAAUGACCGAGCGAACUUGGAUACUGUGCUGUGGUAUGUUGUUUCAGAUUAACACACGAGGACGUGUGUCGCGCAGGAUGGCCGUGUCGGAGUUAGUUAUGAAUAAAGAAGAGAAAUUGAUCAAAUCGGAAAAUACAAUGAAGUUGCAACACUUCCAUCAUGAAGUUGCAACGCUCCGACGUCAGGUGGCGUACGAGCAGAGCGGGGUGAAGUCGAGAGAGUCACUACAGAGUCGUCGUGUCGAGCGGACGUGCACUGCCGUUCUAGUCGGGCAGUCUACCGCGAACCUUCGUCAAGAACCGACGUGUCGAAUAAUUACGAUCGGAACGUGGAGUGCUAUAGUCGCUCACCUAUAACUUGUAGGGACGUCAAGAAAGUGUGAUCGGAAAAGAGCACGUGUCCCGAUGAUUCGGUCCGAAUAUAGGAACCAUGGGUGGUGGAGGGCAAGUAGAGGGCGAGUACCCCCUUCGCGCUAACGUCCUUAUGCGCGCUAGAUUACGAGAAACUGUGUAACCGUUACGAAUACCGUGACGUUGCCGUGAGUGUGUACCUUAUGCUGUGACUUUAUUUAAUCGUGAUACAAAAACUAUGUGGAAGUAAAUAAAAUGAUUGUGAUACUGA
rnacentral:lncRNA from 1 species